UGAUCCUGCCAGUAGUCAUAUGCUUGUCUCAAAGAUUAAGCCAUGCAUGUCUCAGUAUAAGUCUUUACACGGCGAAACUGCGAAUGGCUCAUUAAAACAGUUAUAGUUUACAUGGCGGUCACUCGUUAUAUGGAUAACUGUGGUAAUUCUAGAGCUAAUACAUGCACAAAAACGCGACUUCACGGAAGCGUUGUGUUUAUUAGAUACAGAACCAAUCCCUUCGGGGUCUUUGGAUGAUUCAUAAUAAAUGAACGGAGCGUAUGGCUUGUGCCGACGCUGUGUCAUUCAAGUUUCUGACCUAUCAGCUUUCGACGGUAGGGUAUUGGCCUACCGUGGCAUUGACGGGUAACGGAGAAUUAGGGUUCGAUUCCGGAGAGGGAGCCCGAGAAACGGCUACCACUUUUAAGGAAGGCAGCAGGCGCGCAAAAUUCCCAAAUCCUGACACAGGGAGGUAGUGACAAGAAAUAACAAAGCAAGCCAGAAUUCAGGUUUUUGCUAUUGGAAUGAGUAGAAUUUAAAAUCUCUUUACGACUAACAAUUGGAGGGCAAGUCU
rnacentral:rRNA from 1 species